GGGGAAUAUUGCACAAUGGGCGAAAGCCUGAUGCAGCAACGCCGCGUGAGCGAUGAAGGCCUUUGGGUCGUAAAGCUCUGUCCUUGGGGAAGAAUAAAUGACGGUACCCUUGGAGGAAGCCCCGGCUAACUACGUGCCAGCAGCCGCGGUAAUACGUAGGGGGCAAGCGUUAUCCGGAAUUAUUGGGCGUAAAGGGCACGCAGGCGGUUUUUUAAGUCAGAUGUGAAAGGUACCGGCUCAACCGGUGACAUGCAUUUGAAACUGAAAGACUUGAGUAUUGGAGAGGCAAGUGGAAUUCCUAGUGUAGCGGUGAAAUGCGUAGAUAUUAGGAGGAACACCGGUGGCGAAGGCGGCUUGCUGGACAAAUACUGACGCUGAGGUGCGAAAGCGUGGGGAGCAAACA
rnacentral:rRNA from 1 species